GACGGAGGGCGCGAGCGUUGUUCGGAAUCACUGGGCGUAAAGCGCGCGCAGGCGGGCGGGGAAGUCGGGAGUGAAAGACCGGGGCUCAACCCUGGAGCCGCUUCCGAUACUCUCUGUCUAGGGACCGGUAGAGGCCGGUGGAAUUCCCGGUGUAGCGGUGGAAUGCGUAGAGAUCGGGAAGAACACCAGUGGCGAAGGCGGCCGGCUGGGCCGGUAGUCUCUCCUUCGGGAGGGAGUCCGACGCUCAUGCGCG
rnacentral:misc_RNA from 1 species